GGGGAUGUCAGGUUUCGACAGGGCUCAGGAGUCGGGGAUCGCAAGCCGAGGUCGCCCUCAGGCCUCGUUAAACCGAGGGCAAACCAGUAACUGGCAACAACCAGUUCGCUCUCGCUGCUUAGACAGUGAGCGUUGACAUCGCCCUCCCUCGCCGGGCGGUGAAGGCGUCAUCAGGCGAGGUGCGGCGUCGCCGACUCCGGUGAGCGGCGUCAAAGAGCCGAGAGGCGCACCGGAUAGCGCGCGGAGCACCCCGCCGGUUGGGGGCCCGCGAGGCGAAGAUCAAGUAAGCCGGAAACGCUUGUAGGAAGUCCCCGGUAACUCGGUUCUGGACGGGGAGUUCGAUUCUCCCCCAUCUCCACCA
rnacentral:tmRNA from 2 species